UUAGUCAAACAGAUGAACUUUUGAGGCAAGUUACAGCAUUUAUUGCUGUUUGAGUUUCGAUUUCACAUGUGUGUUUGUCUCAAGUGUGUUGGAGUUACCUCCCCUAUUGCACUUGUGUACUAUAUAUUUUUUUCUAAGUGGUUAUUUUAGCAUUCCGAGUUAAUUUGGUAAAUAGCUGUUUUCGUAUCGGGUGUUUCAUUGGUUCUGUGAUAUUUGUAUGUUUACAUGUACGCCGAUUUUGAUGCUCCGGGUUGAUCUUGUCCUUAUUUUGGAGAAAUGACGUGUGUUUCUACACAUGUGUGCAUUUCGUUGUUGGAGUUACCUCCCGUCUCACAGUUGGAAUAUUGCACUGUUGCAUACAUAUUUGUUUAUAGCGGGCUGUUCAAUAUUAGUAGAUGAUGCAUGUGGUGGUCACAAAAGGUGUUGAUAGCAAUUAUAAUACCUCCAACUAGUGAUAGGGAGGUAGGUCUCUAAAUAAAAAAAAAGUUUUUUCAAGUCAUCAUUGGCAUUAGGCCAGAUUAUUUUAUUUCACACACAAUUCUGUCAUGUAUGAUAUAACUGUUACAUAUUCUACAAAAUUGUUGCAUACUUUUUCAAUGCAUAGUUAAUGCGCUGUGAUUUAUUGGAAAUGUCAGGUUUAAUCAACCAAUUGCUUAUAAUAUCUGUCAAUUUGUCAAUGUUUGACCAAACAUAACUUGUCUUGAAUUGUUUGUAACUUAAUUCAGUUCUAUGCUCAGAGUUAAAUGCUUGUAUAGUGUUGAGUAACAGAAAUUGAUUUAAUAUGUUCUCCAAUUUAAACUAAUAUUCUACCUGAUUUAAUUAGUCGAUCAUAAAAUUGGUCGAAUUGUUUUUAAUAUUAAUUUUCAAUAUUUCUGCCUUGAGUUAAAUUCAGCAUGCCUAAGGCUAAAUCGAACUCCAGGACGGUUCCAGUAAGGGUUCAUGGUACCAGGAAGAGGGGCCAAGAGGUUGCGCUACUGGGUCAGCACGGUUAUCCGAGGAACAGCUGUCACGGGUGGCUGAUUCUGUGUUUGACAGGAUGGCCCCAAGAUUUGAGGAGUUAAUAACUCCCAUCAGAAACUCUCCAGCAAUAGAUCAGGAGGUUUCCGAAAUGGCAGAAGUUUCCGGGCCUGGUCAGCUGUUGGUGUAGAGCUACAGACUCGAGCAUUUCGUCCUAUUGAUGUAAAAACUUUGGUAAAGAGCAUUCGGGAGGUGUGAAACCCCUGCUGCUGCCCAUGGCUAGUGCUGGAGGAACACAGGAUGGUGCAGAAUUUGUCUUCAGUGACGAAUUGGUAGUAAGACAAUGUAUAGCGGUAGGUAACGAGAUGAAGCUUGUUGUUAAGGAAACGAGGGACUCGUGUGGUACUAACGAGUGUAAGGUCCAGGAUGGUCAAUAUACGUUUGUAUGUAAGGCACGACACCCAGGACAUCAUUUUGAGGCUUGUACAGGGAAAACAUUGAUGAUCAGUAUCAUAUAGAUAUUGUUGUAAGUUAUUUCAGUCUUAACCACUGUUUUGCAUAGCAAAUCUUCAAUCCCACCUGUAUCGCCAUUAUCGUAAUGACGUUACAAAUUUUCAUUAGUAUAUUUGAACAUCUAUGAUAUAACGAUACUCCAAGAACGGUAAACAUAAACGUUUAACUGUGUUGAUUUGUUGUUUACAGUCGAUAUGAAUAGUAUAGCGUAACAUGCAAACAAACCAUAACGUGUCAUUCAUAUAGACUAUACAUGUCAUUACGACACAGUUCAAUGCUUAAUCACAUAUUACCGUAGUUGUAAUGAAUAAAUAUCUUUUUUAAACGAUGCUAUUAUCACUUGUACAAUAUUUAAAUAUUGUUGUUUUUUCUGUAA